AACGAACGCUGGCGGCAUGCCUAACACAUGCAAGUCGAACGAGACCUUCGGGUCUAGUGGCGCACGGGUGCGUAACGCGUGGGAACCUGCCCUUAGGUUCGGAAUAACUCCCCGAAAGGGGUGCUAAUACCGGAUAAUGUCUUCGGACCAAAGAUUUAUCGCCUUUGGAUGGGCCCGCGUUGGAUUAGCUAGUUGGUAGGGUAAAAGCCUACCAAGGCGACGAUCCAUAGCUGGUCUGAGAGGAUGAUCAGCCACACUGGGACUGAGACACGGCCCAGACUACUGCGGGAGGCAGCAGUGGGGAAUAUAGGACAAUGGGCGAAAGCCUGAACCAGCAAUGCCGCGUGAGUGAUGAAGGCGGUAGGGUUGUAAAGCUCUUUUACCCGGGAUGAUAAUGACAGUACCGGGAGAAUAAGCUCCGGCUAACUCCGUG
rnacentral:rRNA from 1 species